UUAAAGUAUCACUCUAACACCAUAACCAUUACAGUGCACUGUAGUGGUUAUGGUGCUUGGUGUGUUCCCUUAA